rnacentral:rRNA from 1 species
GAGUUUUGAUCCUGGCUCAGGAUGAACGCUAGCGACAGGCCUAACACAUGCAAGUCGAGGGGCAACAUGGUAUCAGCUUGCUGAUACCGAUGGCGACCGGCGCACGGGUGAGUAACGCGUAUGUAAUCUACUUGUAACAGAGGGAUAACCCGGAGAAAUCCGGACUAAUACCUCAUAGCACAUAUUAUUCGCAUGAGUUUUAUGUUAAAGAGACUCGGUUACAGAUGAACAUGCGUUCCAUUAGCUGGUUGGCGGGGUCACGGCCCACCAAGGCGACGAUGGAUAGGGGUUCUGAGAGGAACGGUCCCCCACACUGGUACUGAGACACGGACCAGACUCCUACGGGAGGCAGCA